UUGUUUUCAUUUUUUUGGUUCCCCUUCCUAUUCCCAUUGCUAUAUAUUGGUAUGAGUCAAUUUUUAUCCAAUAAAUCAUUAUUAUCUCUUGUUUGCAUUUUCAUUAAUUCCUUACUUCGUUUAAGCUGACAAGAAGUUUGCAAUUUGUAGGUAUGAGUCAAAUUUUAUUUAAGAAAUUGUUAAAGAUAUUGAAAACAAAUUGAAUCACAAAGUAUUGAGUGUUUGUUCAUAUCCAGUUGGAUUAGAUAUUCGUAUAAAAAACAUUAAUUUGUGGUUGCAAGAUGGAUCAAACGAAGUCGGGAUAGUGGCAAUCUUUGGGAUGCAUGGAAUAAGGAAGACAACCAUUGCAAAAACUGUGUAUAACUUGACUUUUGACAGAUUUGAAGGUAGCAAUUUUCUUGCAAAUGUAAGAGAAACAUCAAAAGAACCAUGUGGUCUUCUCCGCUUACAAAGACAACUUCUUUCAGAUAUCUUAAAGCGGAAAGAAACAAAAAUUAGCACUGUUGAUGAAGGAAUCAUAAAGAUAAGAGAAGCUAUUUGCUGCAAAAGAAUUUUACUUGUUCUUGAUGAUGUGGAAAACCGAGACCAAUUAAAUGCAGUACUCGCAAUGAGGAGUGGGUUUCAACGAGGAAGUAAAAUUAUCAUAACAACUACAAAUGAACAAUUGUUAAAUGAACAAUUGUUGAAGGCACAUGAAAUGCACAAGCGGUAUAGAGUUGAAGGUUUAACUCAUGAUGAAUCAUUUCAACUCUUUAGCUGGCAUGCCUUUGGACAAGGCCACCCCAUUGAAGGAUAUAUGGAGCACACAAAAAAGGUUGUAGAGUACUGCAGUGGGCAUCCUUUAGCUCUUCAAAUUUUGGGUUCUUCUCUAUGUGGGAGAAGUGUAGAUGUGUGGGAAAGUGCAAUAAAGAAACUGGAAGCAAUUCCUGACUGCCAGAUCCUAAAAAAGCUCAAAAUAAGCUUUGAUUCUUUACAAGAUGACCAUGAUAAAAAUUUAUUUCUUGACAUUUCUUGUUUCUUUGUUAGAAUGGACAAAGAUUUCAUAAUUACAAUAUUAGAGGAAUGUGAUUUUUGCAUAGAGGUUGGGAUUCAAAAUCUCAUCGAUAGAUGUCUCUUAACAAUUGACAAACAAAACAAGUUGACAAUGCCUCAGUUGAUUCAAGAUAUGGGAAGAGAGAUUGUACGCAAAGAAUCACCUAAGGAACUUGGGGAGCGUAGCAGAGUGUGGCACCAUAAGGAUGCCUUAAAUGUAUGAAGAGAAAAAACCGUAAGAAACAUGCCCCUCAUGUCUUUUUUAUUUUUAUUUUUUUAAAUUUUUUUUACUAGUCUGUUAAUUAUCAACCUCUCUUAUCAGGGCACGGAAAAGAUUGAAGGCCUCAGCCUAAAUUUGCACGUGUCUAGGCAAGAUUGGCCUGCUCAGAAUUUCUUUGGUUUAGAUUAUUCAAAAAGACGUCAUUCUGAAGAUUUUCUUGACAAAUUAACAUUUCCUUGUGUAAGCAAUUCAUCAAAGCGCCGUCGUUUAGGUGUCUUCUCUUGGUGCCCAAUGAAUUUUGCCACGACAAAAUCAUUGUCCACAUCAAAGGAAGUAUACUUAAAAGCUGAUGCAUUUUCAAGGAUGCACAAAUUAAGAAUACUCCAUCUCAACAAUGCAUUUGUAACCGGAGAUUACGAAGAAUUUCCAAGGAAGUUGAGAUGGUUGCGUUGGCGAGGGUUUCCUUUAAAAUCGAUACCCAAUGAGUUCAUUUUAGAGAGCCUAGUCGCUCUAGAUAUGCGAAAUAGCUGUUUGAAACAAGUUUGGAAGGGAAUCAAGGUGCUCCCAUCAUUGAGAAUCCUCGACCUUAGUCAUUCCCAUGGCCUUACAAAUACGUCUAAUUUCUCAGAAGUCCCAAAUCUUGAGAGAUUGCUUCUUAAAGAUUGCAUAAAUUUGAUCGAGGUUCACGAAUCCAUUGGGAAGUUAGAGAGACUUGUUCUGUUAAAUCUAAAAAGGCUGCAAGAAUCUUAGGAAUCUUCCUAAAAUUGAUCAGCUAAAAUCUCUUGAGAAACUCAUCCUCUCUGGUUGCUCAAAUCUUGACAAGUUGCCGAGAGAGCUAUGCGAGAUGGAAUCUUUAAAGGUUCUUGACGCAUAUGGUGUUACAAUAAAACAACUACCCAGCAGUGACAUAGAAUCAUGGCAUUCACGCUGGUUCUCUUGGGUUCCUAGGCCAAGAAAAUCUUCAGAAUCGAUUAGUCGUUCACUGCUUUGCUCGCCACGCUCAUUUGUAAGCUUGAAUCUUGCAAACUGCAAUUUGUCAAAUGAUGCCAUUCCGAGGGAUCUUGGGAGCCUGUCCCUGUUGAAGGAAUUGAAUCUAGGGGGAAAUCCAAUCAGUAGCCUUCCAGAGAGCAUCAGGGGACUUGCCAUGCGCAACUCACUUGAAUGAGUAGGGUGUGAAAAACUCCAAUUGCUUCCAGAGCUACCAAUGAGCUUAGAAUGGUUGGAGUUAGGCCAUUGUACGUCACUGGAAAUAAUGAUCAAUCUACCAAAACUAAAGAGACGACCGUACGUGUAUGCGUGGCAAUGUGGCAAACUAGUAGAGGCUCAGAACUGGUUCAGGUUAGAACCCAUUCAAAACAUUGAUGCAGAAAUGAUCAAGAAUUUGGGAUUGGUUGAGUUGGAAUCCAUAGGAAAGGUUGACAUGAAAUUUUACAAUUACCUGACAGAUACGCACAAUAUUGGUCCCAUCCAGUGUAUGAAUGUGGAAUAGUGAGCAUAUUUCAUCCUGGAAAUGAGGUUCCAUGUUGGUUCAGCAAAAAGAGUAGAAAGUCCUCCAUAUGUUUCAAUGUUCCUUCACUUCCUAAUCUCAAGAUCCGAGGCUUGAAUGUAUGCAUUGUUUAUGCGGAUGAUUACUCUUCCACCAUGAAUACCUAUAUUACCAGUCCAUUUGCUAUUGAAAUCUUCAAUAAGACGAAGGAUGUGCAGUGGGUCUAUUUCCCAGCGUGUGUAGGGAUUCCAGAAGAAGGGGAAAAUAUGAAAUGGUCAAGCCUUGGGAAGAUUGGGAAUCAGUUGGAAGUUGGUGAUGAAGUGGUGGUUUCAGCUAUGGGUGUCGGAUAUGAAGUAAAGGAGAUAGGAGUGGACAUUGUGUAUGAAGAAGAGGAGAAGGAUACCCAGCUUAAUAACUAUACUUCUUCUCCUGAUUUAUCACCAUACCAGGUUUCCCAAGGUCGAUACGACCUCCGCUAUUAUUAUAUACAUCCGUUCUGGCUUAUAUCCUCUUCGUAUGACUUCAUAUUUGGAGACACCUCUCAAGACAUAUAUACUUUCUCUGCCAUUAUGGCGGUUAUGCUCGCUUGACUUCGA